rnacentral:rRNA from 1 species
UACAGAGGGUGCGAGCGUUAAUCGGAAUCACUGGGCGUAAAGCGCACGUAGGCGGAUUGCUAAGUCAGGGGUGAAAUCCUGGAGCUCAACUCCAGAACUGCCUUUGAUACUGGCGCUCUCGAGUCCGGGAGAGGUGAGUGGAACUGCGAGUGUAGAGGUGAAAUUCGUAGAUAUCGCAAGAACACCAGUGGCGAAGGCGGCUCACUGGCCCGGUACUGGACGCUGAGGUGCGAAAGCGUGGGGAGCAAACAGG